GACGAACGCUUGCGGCGUGCUUAACACAUGCAAGUCGAACGGAAAGGCCCUGCUUUUGUGGGGUGCUCGAGUGGCGAACGGGUGAGUAACACGUGAGUAACCUGCCCUUGACUUUGGGAUAACUUCAGGAAACUGGGGCUAAUACCGGAUAGGAGCUCCUGCUGCAUGGUGGGGGUUGGAAAGUUUCGGCGGUUGGGGAUGGACUCGCGGCUUAUCAGCUUGUUGGUGGGGUAGUGGCUUACCAAGGCUUUGACGGGUAGCCGGCCUGAGAGGGUGACCGGCCACAUUGGGACUGAGAUACGGCCCAGACUCCUACGGGAGGCAGCAGUGGGGAAUAUUGCACAAUGGGCGGAAGCCUGAUGCAGCAACGCCGCGUGCGGGAUGACGGCCUUCGGGUUGUAAACCGCUUUCGCCUGUGACGAAGCGUGAGUGACGGUAAUGGGUAAAGAAGCACCGGCUAACUACGUGCCAGCAGCCGCGGCGAUACGUAGGGUGCGAGCGUUGUCCGGAUUUAUUGGGCGUAAAGGGCUCGUAGGUGGUUGAUCGCGUCGGAAGUGUAAUCUUGGGGCUUAACCCUGAGCGUGCUUUCGAUACGGGUUGACUUGAGGAAGGUAGGGGAGAAUGGAAUCCCUGGUGGAGCGGUGGAAUGCGCAGAUAUCAGGAGGAACACCAGUGGCGAAGGCGGUUCUCUGGGCCUUUCCUGACGCUGAGGAGCGAAAGCGUGGGGAGCGAACAGGCUUAGAUACCCUGGUAGUCCACGCUGUAAACGGUGGGUACUAGGUGUGGGGUCCAUUCCACGGGUUCCGUGCCGUAGCUAACGCUUUAAGUACCCCGCCUGGGGAGUACGGCCGCAAGGCUAAAACUCAAAGGAAUUGACGGGGCCCCGCACAAGCGGCGGAGCAUGCGGAUUAAUUCGAUGCAACGCGUAGAACCUUACCUGGGUUUGACAUGGAUCGGGAGUGCUCAGAGAUGGGUGUGCCUCUUUUGGGGUCGGUUCACAGGUGGUGCAUGGCUGUCGUCAGCUCGUGUCGUGAGAUGUUGGGUUAAGUCCCGCAACGAGCGCAACCCUUGUUCACUGUUGCCAGCACGUUAUGGUGGGGACUCAGUGGAGACCGCCGGGGUCAACUCGGAGGAAGGUGGGGAUGACGUCAAGUCAUCAUGCCCCUUAUGUCCAGGGCUUCACGCAUGCUACAAUGGCUGGUACAGAGAGUGGCGAGCCUGUGAGGGUGAGCGAAUCUCGGAAAGCCGGUCUCAGUUCGGAUUGGGGUCUGCAACUCGACCUCAUGAAGUCGGAGUCGCUAGUAAUCGCAGAUCAGCAACGCUGCGGUGAAUACGUUCCCGGG
rnacentral:rRNA from 1 species